GUGACCCAUGGCAUCAGCCUCCUCCUUUCUGUACCAAACAGCGCCACUCCCCUUAGGGCACAGGGAGACAAAUAGCCAAUCUGUAGCACAGCAGCUGACCUCGGCCGUAAGUCUGUACCGCUUACCUUGGCUUUCACUGGCACAGAGAAUGAAGUCACUGGAAGAGGAGAAAAUGAAGAGGACCCCUGGACAGGCAGCAAUAAAACAUGCACCCCAGAGGUUGGAGGGGGCCUGGAAUCAUGGGAUCCUAGGCAGCAGCCUGUAAGAGACUGGCUUUAUGAGCUAGUAGAUAUUAGAGGAAGAACUGAAAACUCCAGAGCUUCUAGUUCCAUAUCUUCUUAGGCCAACCACCGAAGAGAUUGAUCUUCUACCCACAGUGUUUGGAUUCCCCAGGAGCACAGAUGGGAUUCUGGGAAGACCAGUGUGAUGAGUUAAAGGCCUUCCAGGGUCCAGUCACACAUGGCGAAGAGCUGUAUCUUCUCUGAAAUGGCCUCCAGUGAUAUAAAACAUGGAAGAGAUGGAACACUGAGAAAACAACUCAACAGAGGUUCUCUCUUGAAAGUACUCCUAAGAGGUGAAUGUGGUGAGCAGAUACUAUGGCUCAGCAUUCCUCAGAAACCUGUGACGUGUGCUUCUGUCUACCAAGACAGCCACUUCCCUAUCUCCCCAUGCCUCUGUCUAAUAAGACAUCUCCUAUCAAGAUGUAUCUAUUGUGUGCAGCAAAGCCACCAGCCUCUUUUAGCCUACCAGCCCACUUCCCUGCUAGCCUAAAUGCCUAGGCUCUUGCAGUUUGCAGGUCCUAGGCACCUGCUACCUUUAUAAUCCGAGAGCUACCCCCAAUGAGUUUUUUUUCUCUCUGCUCUCAAGAAAUCAGUCUGCCAUGGCAGCUUUGAAUUCCCCACAUGCCUGUAGCUAUUCUCUCUCUAGAUAUCUAGGACAAAACCUUCUCCCAUCCAUGGACCAGUCUAGUUCAGUGGUUUUACUAUGCCCUCAUAAGCAAGAGUAUAGUGAAACAGCACACUGAGUGCCAAGGCUGCCUGGAAGGUCAGAGAGAAGAGCAAAACAUGAGAAAACCAAGAGGAUUUUAUAUGACCGUCAGCAGGGUGGUGGGUCUUUGAACUGAUACAAGUUCCAUCAGGACUUGAUUGAACCUGAUUGACCAAGAUCUAGAUAACUUUGCUAAAGUUAACUGACCUUUGAGGGUAGCUUAAGGGAGAUUCCUGUAAACAGAAAUUUAAUCUUACCAGGUGAGAAUAAGACCACUACCAUAAUUUCCAGAGCAAGCUUUAUUAAAGCUCAGAAUCUUAAAUAACAAAGCUGGCCAGGAAGAUGGAUACCAACCAGUUCCAUACCUGAGAUUCACAGAGUGUCACUGAGAAUUACUUUAGUCAGGUACUUGUCAAGGCAAAACCCACAAGGCUACACACUUCCUGCCAACAUCCAAUCUA